rnacentral:misc_RNA from 1 species
AAAGUCGUAACAAGGUCUCCGUUGGUGAACCAGCGGAGGGAUCAUUACAAGAAGCCGAAAGGCUACUUCAAACCAUCGCGAACUCGUCCAAGUUGCUUCGGCGGUGCGGCUACCCCCCCGGGGGUUCCGCGGCGCCGCGCCUCCCCGGAGGUGCGGGGCGCCCGCCGGAGGUCAGAAACUCUUAUGUAUUAUAGUGGCAUCUCUGAGUAAAACACAAAUAAGUUAAAACUUUCAACAACGGAUCUCUUGGUUCUG